GACGAACGCUGGCGGCGUGCUUAACACAUGCAAGUCGAGCGGUAAGGCUCCUUCGGGGGUACACGAGCGGCGAACGGGUGAGUAACACGUGAGUAAUCUGCCCUUGGCUCUGGGAUAAGCACUAGAAAUGGUGUCUAAUACCGGAUAUGACAGUCUCCUGCAUGGGGGUUGUGGAAAGUUUUUCGGUCCAGGGAUGUGCUCGCGGCCUAUCAGCUUGUUGGUGGGGUAAGUGGCCUACCAAGGCCUUGACGGGUAGCCGGCCUGAGAGGGUGACCGGUCACAC
rnacentral:rRNA from 1 species